rnacentral:rRNA from 1 species
UACGUAGGGGGCAAGCGUUGUCCGGAAUUAUUGGGCGUAAAGCGCGCGCAGGCGGUCUUUUAAGUCUGGUGUCUAAGUGCGGGGCUCAACCCCGUGAUGCACUGGAAACUGGGAGACUUGGGUGCAGAAGAGGAGAGCGGAAUUCCACGUGUAGCGGUGAAAUGCGUAGAGAUGUGGAGGAACACCAGUGGCGAAGGCGGCUCUCUGGACAGAUAUUGACGCUGAGGUGCGAAAGCGUGGGGAGCAAACAGG